rnacentral:rRNA from 1 species
GAAUGGCCACACGAAAGCUAUACUGUCUCCUUUUUCUAAUCAGUCAAACUAAUCUUCCCGUGAAGAAGCGGGAAUAAACCUAUAAGACGAGAAGACCCUAUGGAGCUUCAAACAACCAGGACAUUUGAUUUUACUCUCCCUAUAUUUAACUAUUCUUAUUGUCCUUAGUUUUGGGUUGGGGUGACCACGGAGCAUAAACUAACCUCCAUGAUGAAUGAAUUUUUUUAUCCUUAGCUAAAAGCCACAUCUUAAUGCACCAAUAAACUGACUCUUAUUGACCCAAUAAUUUGAUCAACGAACCAAGUUACCCUAGGGAUAACAGCGCAAUCCACUUCAAGAGCUCUUAUCGACAAGUGG